rnacentral:rRNA from 1 species
GACCCGUCUUGAAACACGGACCAAGGAGUCUAUUUAGUAUGCAAGUAAAUGGGAAUUUAUUAAAACCUAUUUGCGUAAAUAACUUAACUGUUUUAAUGGGAUUACGAGUGUUUCAUUUAUUUGGACGCUUCUCCAUCCCGGGGUAUUUUCAUAAUAUAUAUGGUGCAAAUCAUAUAUAGAAAAUAUACCAUGAGCAUACUGGAUAUGACCCGAAAGAUGGUGAACUAUGCCUGAUCAGGUUGAAGUCAGGGGAAACCCUGAUGGAGGACCGAAGCAAUUCUGACGUGCAAAUCGAUUGUCAGAAUUGGGCAUAGGGGCGAAAGACCAAUCGAACCAUCUAGUAGCUGGUUCCUUCCGAAGUUUCCCUCAGGAUAGCUGGAGCAUAUAUAAUUCUUGCACUAACUCAUACCUGGUAAAGCGAAUGAUUAGAGGCCUUAGGAACGAAAUGUUCUUAACCUAUUCUCAAACUUUAAAUGGGUAUGUAAGUUAACAUACUUGAUUGAUGUUGACCAUAUAGAUUAUAGUAAUAUAGUCAAUGUAAGAUUGUAUGCGCCCAGUGGGCCAAGUUUUGGUAAGCAGAACUGGUGCUGCGGGAUGAACCGAACGCAUUGUUAAGGCGCCCAAAUAAACGACGCAUCAUCGAUACCAUGAAAGGUGUUGAUUGCUGAAGACAGCAGGACGGUGGACAUGGAAGUUGUCAUCCGCUAAGGAGUGUGU